AGUGAACGCUGGCGGUAGGCCUAACACAUGCAAGUCGAACGGCAGCACAGUAAGAGCUUGCUCUUACGGGUGGCGAGUGGCGGACGGGUGAGGAAUACAUCGGAAUCUACUUUUUCGUGGGGGAUAACGUAGGGAAACUUACGCUAAUACCGCAUACGACCUACGGUUGAAAGCAUGGGAUCUUCGGACCUUGCGCGAUUGAAUGAGCCGAUGUCGGAUUAGCUAGUUGGCGGGGUAAAGGCCCACCAAGGCGACGAUCCGUAGCUGGUCUGAGAGGAUGAUCAGCCACACUGGAACUGAGACACGGUCCAGACUCCGACGGGAGGCAGCAGUGGGGAAUAUUGGACAAUGGGCGCAAGCCUGAUCCAGCCAUACCGCGUGGGUGAAGAAGGCCUUCGGGUUGUAAAGCCCUUUUGUUGGGAAAGAAAAGCAGCAGGUUAAUACCCCGCUGUUCUGACGGUACCCAAAGAAUAAGCACCGGCUAACUUCGUG
rnacentral:rRNA from 1 species